GGGUUGUGAGGUUAAGCGACUAAGCGUACACGGUGGAUGCCCUGGCAGUCAGAGGCGAUGAAGGGCGUGCUAAUCUGCGAUAAGCGCCGGUAAGGUGAUAUGAACCGUUAUAACCGGCGAUACCCGAAUGGGGAAACCCAGUGUGAUUCGUCACACUAUCAUUAACUGAAUCCAUAGGUUAAUGAGGCGAACCGGGGGAACUGAAACAUCUAAGUACCCCGAGGAAAAGAAAUCAACCGAGAUUCCCCCAGUAGCGGCGAGCGAACGGGGAGGAGCCCAGAGCCUGAAUCAGCAUGUGUGUUAGUGGAAGCGUCUGGAAAGGCGCGCGAUACAGGGUGACAGCCCCGUACACAAAAGCGCAUGUGCUGUGAGCUCGAUGAGUAGGGCGGGACACGUGGUAUCCUGUCUGAAUAUGGGGGGACCAUCCUCCAAGGCUAAAUACUCCUGACUGACCGAUAGUGAACCAGUACCGUGAGGGAAAGGCGAAAAGAACCCCGGCGAGGGGAGUGAAAAAGAACCUGAAACCGUGUACGUACAAGCAGUGGGAGCACCCUUUUGGGUGUGACUGCGUACCUUUUGUAUAAUGGGUCAGCGACUUAUAUUCUGUAGCAAGGUUAACCGAAUAGGGGAGCCGGAGGGAAACCGAGUCUUAACCGGGCGUUAAGUUGCAGGGUAUAGACCCGAAACCCGGUGAUCUAGCCAUGGGCAGGUUGAAGGUUGGGUAACACUAACUGGAGGACCGAACCGACUAAUGUUGAAAAAUUAGCGGAUGACCUGUGGCUGGGGGUGAAAGGCCAAUCAAACCGGGAGAUAGCUGGUUCUCCCCGAAAGCUAUUUAGGUAGCGCCUCGUGAAUUCAUCUCCGGGGGUAGAGCACUGUUUCGGCUAGGGGGCCAUCCCGGCUUACCAACCCGAUGCAAACUGCGAAUACCGGAGAAUGUUAUCACGGGAGACACACGGCGGGUGCUAACGUCCGUCGUGAAGAGGGAAACAACCCAGACCGCCAGCUAAGGUCCCAAAGUCAUGGUUAAGUGGGAAACGAUGUGGGAAGGCCCAGACAGCCAGGAUGUUGGCUUAGAAGCAGCCAUCAUUUAAAGAAAGCGUAAUAGCUCACUGGUCGAGUCGGCCUGCGCGGAAGAUGUAACGGGGCUAAACCAUGCACCGAAGCUGCGGCAGCGAACGUAUCACUUAAAGCGAUUCAGCGGGUUACGAUUGACGGAGCGAAGCGACGUCAAAGCGUAUACAAAGUCGAGUCGGUUUAAGGAUACGUUCGUUGGGUAGGGGAGCGUUCUGUAAGCCUGUGAAGGUGUGUCGUGAGGCAUGCUGGAGGUAUCAGAAGUGCGAAUGCUGACAUAAGUAACGAUAAAGCGGGUGAAAAGCCCGCUCGCCGGAAGACCAAGGGUUCCUGUCCAACGUUAAUCGGGGCAGGGUGAGUCGACCCCUAAGGCGAGGCCGAAAGGCGUAGUCGAUGGGAAACGGGUUAAUAUUCCCGUACUUGGUGUUACUGCGAAGGGGGGACGGAGAAGGCUAUGUUGGCCGGGCGACGGUUGUCCCGGUUUAAGCGUGUAGGUGUGUGUUCCAGGUAAAUCCGGUUCACUUUAACACUGAGGCGUGA
rnacentral:rRNA from 1 species